AUAAUGGAUUGUCAGAAGAGCUUAAUCAAUCAGCCACUAUCUUUUAUGCUUUUGCUCUGCACUAUUCCUGGGAGAGAACUGAUGGACACUUACCCAAAGUUUCAGUUGGAUAAUGUUUGGGCAUAGGAGAGAAGAUGAAAACAUAUGUUCAGUGUGUUUUAAUACUAGCUGUCACAGAAACUAAGGACAAGAAAUGCAGGACAGCCUCAUGAAAAAAGGAGUUAAGCUGGAGAGUCAGUGUAAGUAGUGUCAAAAAAGACUUUUUUACUAAUACUCUAGAAAUGCAGUCAAGGUUAAUUGUAAACUAAGUUGACAAGGGACUUCAUGUGCUUCAUAUUCUGAAAAGAGUUGCAAUGAGCA
rnacentral:lncRNA from 1 species